rnacentral:tRNA from 1 species
GGUGACGUGGCAGAGCGGCCGAAUGCACCGGUCUUGAAAACCGGUGAGGGCUCACACCCUCCGUGGGUUCGAAUCCCACCGUCACCA